UACGUAGGGGGCAAGCGUUGUCCGGAAUUAUUGGGCGUAAAGAGCGUGUAGGCGGCCUUACAGGUCAGCUGUGAAAACUCGAGGCUCAACCUCGAGACGCCGGUGGAAACCGUAAAGCUAGAGUCCGGAAGAGGAGAGUGGAAUUCCUGGUGUAGCGGUGAAAUGCGCAGAUAUCAGGAAGAACACCCGUGGCGAAGGCGGCUCUCUGGGACGGUACUGACGCUGAGACGCGAAAGCGUGGGGAGCGAACAGG
rnacentral:rRNA from 1 species